UACGUAGGGUGCAAGCGUUGUUCGGAAUUAUUGGGCGUAAAGAGCUCGUAGGCGGUUCGUCGCGUCCGCUGUGAAAACCCGGAGCUCAACUCCGGGCCUGCAGUCGAUACGGGCGGACUCGAGUUCGGCAGGGGAGACUGGAAUUCCUGGUGUAGCGGUGAAAUGCGCAGAUAUCAGGAGGAACACCGGUGGCGAAGGCGGAUCUCUGGGCCUUACCUGACGCUCAGGUGCGAAAGCUAGGGGAGCGAACAGG
rnacentral:rRNA from 1 species